rnacentral:sRNA from 1 species
UUCUUCAUUCUCCCUUCCAUUGGAAUCGAAGAAUGGCUCUGGCUUCUUCCUCCCGUCGUUGCCAUCCAGGAAGGGUCCAUGCGCCUCCACGAGCCUCUGGAUCCAGCGGUCCAGGGCGGCGAGGUACUUGUGGUAGAUUAGCUUGACGGGCGCGGCGAGGGUGGCGUCGAGGCAAACGGACUCGGCGGCGGAGGCCCAGACGGCGGGGGACGACGACGUCGCGGCGUAGCCGCCGGCGGCGCGGAUGGCGGAGAAGAGGCGGAGCAGGUCGACGCGGCUCCCGUCGCCGAGCUUCGCCGGGAGAGGGCGCACCUCGCGGCCGCCCGGGUAGACCUCGCGGAGGAACGCGGCGAGGACGGUGUCGAACAGGUCCGAGGGGGGGCCGGAGGCCGCGGCGUCGCCGAUCCGGAGAUGGGCGCAGAAGCCGAGAGACUGCAGCUUGCUGAGGAUGGAGAGGAUGACGCCGGCGGAGUCCAUGGGCAGGGGAGGCCUCGCCGGCGGCGAGGUCACGGCGGUGGGCCACGGUGGCGCAUUCUUUUUCCCUUUUUUGUGCGAGUUUCGUUGUUUAUUUUGGGUUUGG